CUCCCCUGGCUGUGGACAAAGAGACACCUUGAUGGUGGUGGUGUUCUUACAUAACUCAGAGGCAGAUCAGAAACAGUCCUUUGUUCAUCUUAGAUGGAUGCCUGGCUUGGUGCCACGGCUGUUUUAUACCUAAGACACAUAA